UUUGGGUAUAGGGGCGAAAGACUAAUCGAACCAUCUGGUAGCUGGUUCCUGCCGAAGUUUCCCUCAGGAUAGCAGAAACUCACAUCAGUUCUAUGAGGUAAAGCGAAUGAUUAGAGGCCUUGGGGUUGAAACAACCUUAACCUAUUCUCAAACUUUAAAUAUGUAAGAAGCCCUUGUUGCUUAAUUGAACGUGGGCAUUAGAAUGAUGCGUUACUAGUGGGCCAUUUUUGGUAAGCAGAACUGGC
rnacentral:rRNA from 15 species